rnacentral:rRNA from 1 species
CCUGUGACUCCUACGGGAGGCAGCAGUGGGGGAAUAUUGCACAAUGGGCGCAAGCCUGAUGCAGCCAUGCCGCGUGUAUGAAGAAGGCCUUCGGGUUGUAAAGUACUUUCAGCAGUGAGGAAGGCGGGUACGUUAAUAGCGUAUUCGUUUGACGUUAGCUGCAGAAGAAGCACCGGCUAACUCCGUGCCAGCAGCCGCGGUAAUACGGAGGGUGCGAGCGUUAAUCGGAAUUACUGGGCGUAAAGCGCAUGCAGGUGGUUUGUUAAGUCAGAUGUGAAAGCCCCGGGGCUCAACCUCGGAAUUGCAUUUGAAACUGGCAGACUAGAGUACUGUAGAGGGGGUAGAAUUUCAGGUGUAGCGGUGAAAUGCGUAGAGAUCUGAAGGAACACCAGUGGCGAAGGCGACUUUCUGGACUGUAACUGACGCUGAGGCACGAAAGCGUGGGGAGCGAACAGGAUUAGAUACCCUGGUAG